rnacentral:rRNA from 1 species
AUACGUAGGUGGCAAGCGUUGUCCGGAUUUACUGGGUGUAAAGGGCGUGUAGGCGGAAUGGCAAGUCAGAUGUGGAAUACGGGAGCUUAACUCCCGGGCUGCAUUUGAAACUGCUGUUCUUGAGUGAUGGAGAGGUAAGCGGAAUUCCCGGUGUAGCGGUAAAAUGCGUAGAUAUCGGGAGGAACACCAGUGGCGAAGGCGGCUUACUGGACAUUAACUGACGCUGAGGCGCGAAAGUGUGGGGAGCAAACAGGAUUAGAUACCCUGGUAGUCCACACUGUAAACGAUGGAUACUAGGUGUGGGGGGACUGACCCCUUCCGUGCCGGAGUCAACACAAUAAGUAUCCCACCUGGGGAGUACGGUCGCAAGAUUAA